GACCCCCGUUCGUGCCCCCUCCGCUCCUCCCAGUCGUUGGCCAUGAGUUCCUCUGCCAAGAUGAGCAGCCCCUUUUGAUUUUUUUGCCAAACAUUCAUCCAGAUUUGCUAUGAACUUCUGCUGAUGCAUGAUGUUUUCCUAUUGAUAUGCUAUGUGGUGGUGAAUAUAUAUGGUGCUGCUGCUGCAUAUAUACUUGUCAUGUGCUGCUAGACAUACAUAAAUACAUGACCAAAACGAGAUUUUGUUGGCUGUUAUGGUUUGCAAAGUCUGUCCAGUUUGCAAAGUCUCGUGUACAUUCAUGUUUUCAUUCACAGUAGUAAGUUCUCACUAAGUAUUGUAUUCGCCUCUGGAUGCUAGCAUUGUAUUUCCAUAGAGGAAAAAUUGAUGGUUCUGUGUAAGAUCUUUCAUACUCGUACUCGUACUUGAGAUAAUGAUGCAUGUAUGAUGUGAGAUAAUGAUGCAUUUAUGAUAUUCGUAUGUCAGGCAAUGAUCUUUAUUAUGUUUGAUUGUAACAUAUCGUGGUGUUUUGAAGUCGAAUUUGUGUUCAUUUGAGUAGCAAAAUGAUAAAAAUAACACAAUAUCAUUUAAUCAGGACAACCAUAUAGUCCAAGGGCAUGACAGACUUUUCACUGACCAUACAACAGAUAAGCUGAAAAAACAGGCACUGAAAAGAACUGACUAGCUUAUUAUAUGGAGCUUAUUUCCACAGGAGCUUAUCUAGAGCUUAUUUUCACAGCAUAGCUCAAAAGAACUGGCCCUUAGUCAGCAGGAAGCAGUCAUUGCGGACGCGUCACGUCCUCUUCCCCUUGGCGUCGUCCUCCUCCGGACCCCUCCACCUCGACACCCCAGCCAGCCUCGCACUCGCAUUCGCACUGCUCCAGAACCCCUGACCCGCUCCCUUCCCUUGACGCGUGCAGCACAAAUAGCAGUGGGGCAUUUCAUUAAAGGAAGGCCAUGAUUUCCCACAAGGAUAGGGCUCAAAAGGCGUAUGAGGCCAUGGGGCGUCUCGGCUUCCCCAAGAAGCAGGUUUCGCCAGUCCUGAAGCACCUCUACAAGCUCUUCGAAAACUGGGAACCCAUCGAGGACGAGAGCUACCGCAUCCUUGCUGACACCAUCCUGGAUAGCCAAAAGAAUCAACAAAUGCCUGCCACUAGCCGUCAUGUGACAGACCAAGAGUCCGAGCCUCACAACUCAACGUCGGUCACACCAGAUCCAGAUGACCAACACCCUUCUGCUGCUCGGUAUGACAUGGAUGUUAGUGAUAAUGAAACCUCCCUCAUCAACAGACCCAUGGAUGUCAGUGAAAAUCCCCAAGAUGCUCUCUUUUUACAAGAGCCCAAGCCUGAACCUGAAAUUGAUGUUCCAGCUGCUCCUGUUGCCAACGACCUCAAUACUGGGUCUUCAGGUGGAGACAACAUGCUAAUUGAACAUUGUAAAACAAGGGAUAUGCUGACAUGGGGUUCUGAUGCUAGAGCUAGCAUAGUUAACCACGAUCAAAAUCCGGACAGCAGCCAACAUGCAGUCAAGGAUGGGGUAGAGUCUACUGUUCAAAAUACUCACCAGGCAUCUUUUGUUGAACUUGAUGUAGCUUCAUCCACUCUGGGUGAGGUGAAGGUGUCAUUGAAAUGCAAAUUUGACCCUUCAGAGGUCUGCAUUAGUUUGGACAAGGUCUUCAAAAUAGUUGAGGAUAAUUGUCUCCGCUCAUACAAGACCCUACCUCCUGAUUUUUCUGUUGGCCAGCUGAUGAAUGAGAUAUGCCAAUAUGUUGCAGAGUCACGUGCUGUGCAUUCUGAAGCUCAAAACAAUGGUGGCAGCUUGCAAGAACAGGCUUUGGAGACGUAUGCUCCCUUUGUGAAGCCAAUUGCUUGUAAGCAUGCUGUUGAUGGGAAUGGUAAUACUGCCGUAGGAUCAUCCUUGGAACCUAGCUUUCAAAAUUGGGUAGUUGCUUAUCAGCCUCAGGAAGCACUUUUUAAGCAAAGGCCACUGCAUGAUGUUGCUGACAUAACGAAGGGAGAAGAAAGGGUUAGAAUACCUAUCGUAAACGAAUUUGGUAGUGAUAGUUGUCCGCCAUUGUUCUAUUACAUAAGAAAGAAUCUCAUUUUCCAAAGUGCUUAUGUCAACACCUCACUUGCGCGGAUUGGUGAUGAGGAUUGCUGCGCAGAUUGUUCAGGCAACUGCUUAUUAGAAUCACAUCCAUGUGCAUGUGCAAGAUCAACUGGAGGUGAGAUUGCAUACACACCGGAGGGCCUGGUCAGGGCAGAAUUAAUUGAUGAGUGCAUUGCUGUUAAUCACUUCCCAGAAAAGGAUAAUAAGUUCUACUGUAAAGCUUGUCCUCUUGAAAUAUAUAAGACAAAGCCCUCACCAGAUCCAUGUAAAGGUCAUCUUGCUAGAAAAUUCAUUAAGGAGUGUUGGAGUAAAUGUGGCUGUGGCAUGCAGUGUGGAAAUCGUGUGAUUCAGCGUGGGAUAACAUGCAAUCUCCAGGUGUUUUUCACAAAUGAAGGGAAGGGCUGGGGGCUACGGACGCUGGAUGGGCUGCCAAAAGGUGCUUUCAUCUGUGAAUUAGUUGGGGAGGUACUAACAAGUUCUGAACUACAUGAGAGAAAAGCCAAAAAUUCUAAGCAUGUGGAUCAAGUGCUCCUAGAUGCUAGUUGGGGUUCUGAAGGGGUGCUAAGAGACGAGGAAGCUCUCUGCGUUGAUCCGACAUUUUAUGGGAAUGUCGGGCGAUUUGUCAACCAUAGAUGCUAUGAUGCAAAUUUGGUAAUCAUACCUGUUGAAGUCGAGACUCCUGAUCGCCAUUAUUACCAUCUUGCAUUAUUCACUGCCAAGAAAAUAGAGGCUUUUGAGGAGUUAACGCGGGAUUAUGGCAUCGAUUUUGAUGGUACUGAUGACCUCAAUAAAGCAUUUGACUGCAUGUGCGGAAGCAAGUACUGUCGCGGCGGUCCGAAUAAUUCAAGGAAGAGGACUAGGGCAAGUGCAAGUCAGUACUAGAGGAUUAUGGCAUCGAUUUUGAUGGUACUGAUGACCUCAAUAAAGCAUUUGACUGCAUGUGCGGAAGCAAGUACUGUCGCGGCGGUCCGAAGAAUUCAAGGAAGAGGACUAGGGCAAGUGCAAGUCAGAACUAGAGGUAUUUGCAUUCGGUCAAGAGCGGUGGAAGAAGAGUGUUGGCAGGAACAGGGCGUAGAUAGAUGCAAGGGGCGGUGUCAGCCAGUCAUAUUUUGGGGUUUGGAUGUAGUAAAACCAACUAAAAAUGCCUGAUGCAGAGCAAGUGGGACUUAAUUAGUAUGUGUGUUGUCAGUCUGUCACUGUGUGUGCGUCCGGAGUUUACCUAGCAAUUGCAGUUAACUUGCUUCACUGCCCGAGCUUAUUCUGCAUCUUUUUUUUCUCUC